UCCUCUUUUUCUUUUUUCAGCAUGCAUGGCAAAAGCAAUCCUCGUUUUCUUUUUCUUACCCCACCAUCCUGUACUAGUAAGUGUCAAGCAAGAAGGAAGUACAUUGAGAUACCUCCCAAUCAGACGAAGAAAGGCUUUACCGAUAGAAGAGGCGGUGGCGGUCCUAAGAAGAAGCCUGUCUCUCGCUCUAUUAAAAUCGACCUCCAGUUUCCUGUCGGCGGAAUCGGCUGCUACUUGAAGAAUGGUUGUUACUCUCAACGAGUCAGAAUCGGCGCUCUGGUUUACCUUGCUAUUGUGCUUGAGUGCCUCCCUGCUGAGUUAUAACGUUUAAGGUGGGUGGUAACCAAGAAUAUCUGCAUCAUAUGAUUCUUCCAAGAUUUUAGGUUUUGAUACUAUAGGCGAAUGAUCCUCAAGUCUAAUGGCGACAAGGGAUUAAUGUUGGUGUUAACAAGAACAAGAAAUUAUCUUCAAAGCUCUUGCAGGCUGAAGUGCCACUAAGCAGACAUGGAAGAAGCCAUAAGCUUGCUUCAACCAUUGUCAACCCCAGAAGAAGCAACAAUUCUUCAAGGUCAGAUGUGCC